CUUCAUAUUCUCCCACCUCCCCUAGCUACAGCCCAACGUCUCCUAGCUACAGCCCAACGUCUCCAAGCUACAGUCCAACGUCUCCAAGCUACAGCCCAACAUCCCCGAGUUACAGUCCAACUUCACCUGCUUACAGUCCAACUUCUCCUGCAUACAGCCCAACGUCACCUGCAUACAGCCCUACCUCUCCAUCUUACAGUCCAACUUCACCAUCUUACAGUCCGACAUCGCCUUCUUACAGCCCUACUUCACCCUCCUACAGUCCAACAUCUCCUUCUUACAGCCCUACUUCACCUGCAUACAGCCCUACGUCUCCUGGCUACAGCCCUACAUCUCCAAGCUACAGUCCAACGUCUCCUAGUUACGGUCCGACAUCUCCAAGCUACAACCCUCAGUCUGCUAAAUACAGUCCAUCUCUGGCUUACUCUCCUAGCAAUGCAAGACUAUCACCAGCUAGCCCUUACAGUCCUACAUCUCCAAACUACAG
rnacentral:lncRNA from 1 species